GCUUUUCAACCUCUUUGUCUAGUCUAAAGUUCUGGUAUUUCCUGGUAGUCUUAUAGCUAGUUUUUAUCCUGCUUAACCAGGUCCUCUUGGCAGUUUUUAUCCUGCUUAACCAGGUCCUCUUGGCACUGCCUGCUUUAGAUAGAAGUAAUUAUCAUCACCAUGGAAAAUAAGUACUGCAGAAACACAGAUACGAAAAAUAAGAUGGGCACUUACCGAGGUCUCAUAGAUUGAAAGAAAAAAGUUAAAUUAAAAAAAAACAUUAUAAGGAUUUUGUAAGACUUGAGAGGAAGUCCAGAUAAAAAGUGUUGUGUUGGCAGACGGACACACCAGGCAGACACAGAACUGAAGAAUAACGUUGCUUUUAUUUGAAGAGUAACAGGUUAUCGUGGCUGCCCAGCUGGGCUGGCAGCCAGCUGGCUGGAGCAGCUGAUGCCGUUUGACAGCUCCUUUUAUAGUCUGCUGUCAAACGGCACCAACCAAUGGGAACCGUCGGUGCUCCCGCUCAGAAUGCGGACCAGAUUGAAGACUUAGCUAGUCAGGGACACUACACCCCUUUCCCCUAGCUAAGUGCAUGCGCGGCCCUGCCUCCUGGGGAUCCAUGGUACAGAAGAAGAAGUUGAACUAGUAGCUGCUUUGCGCACCUCCCCCAUCUUGGCUUCCAGGAACAGAAACCUGACCUGUCGCAAGGUAGGAGCACUCGGCCUGGGAAGGAGACCCUGAGAAGCUUGGUGCAUGGUCUGCAGGUACAAGGGUCCACUUUUUGGAUUGAUGAACACCAUCCUACACAAUCAAAUGCAGCAUCUGGAUCCAAUUGGGCAGUUUUCAUGUAUGUAUUUUUUGUGUCUCAUUAUCUUUGUUUUGGCCUUCCACAUGGGCACUUGCCAUCUGUGUUAAAGUGGAAGGUCAUGCAGGCAACAGCAUUGUGUAUUGCUCAUAGGACCUGGCCAUUCCACUGGAGGUGUUUCCCCCACAUUUUGUCAGGUAAUGGUGGAAUGCCAUUUGCUGCCAUACUGUAUCAUUGCUAACAUGAUGAGGAGAAACAUCUAAUGAUCAACAAAGCAUGUGCAUCUCCAUGCCAUGUAAAGAAGGCUUAAUGCAUUUGGUGGUUUGCCAGCACUCAGUGCCAUCUGAUGCUAUUGGGUGUAUCAUUCUUUUAUACACCUUUGAUAGAUUGGCAAGCAUCGAUUGCAGAACACUCCAGUGAUCUCCUUCCAACAUAGUCAUACCUUGUUCACUCUUGCACACACUUUGACAUUAAUGCUGCUGUCACUUUGUAGAUGGGAUCAUAAGUAAAAGAAAGUAUUGGUCUUCCCUAGAUCUUCACUGCUGACUUAGAUGGUGAAGGAAUGCCUGAUGUAUUCCUUUAAUGUAUUACGUGUUGUCAAUCUUUCUGCUAUUUUAUGGCAUUCCCUAGAGGCAUAGGAAGUGUAUUUUAACAGGUUUAACAACUGUAUAUCUUAAGUAUGUAAAAUGGCAUUUACUUCAUAUAAACCAAUCUUGAACUGAAUUCAAGCUUAGUGAAUAAUGAAUAGAUAUUGAUUGAAUAAAAUGACAUACCAUAUUUAAUUGCCA
rnacentral:lncRNA from 1 species